CACAAUUUUAUUAUUUUGUUUCAAACAUAUUAAUUUACAGGCACAAGCUCAGGAAACAGAAAAACAGAUAAAGAAGGAAUUUGAGAAACUUCACCAGUUUCUAUGAGAUGAAGAGGCAGCCAGGAUAGCUGCACUCAAAGAGGAACAGGAGUAGAAGAGCCAGAUGAUGAAGGAGAAGAUGGAGAUUCUUACAAGAGAGAUCUAAUCCAUUUCAGACACAAUCAGAGCCAUAGAACAGAAGAUGGGAGCUGAAGACAUUUCAUUCCUGCUGAACUACAAGGACACAAAGAGCCCAGUGCACACUGCAGGAUUCAGAGGGGGUUUCAGGAGCACUGAUAAAUGUUGACAAGCACCUGGGCUCUCUGAAGUACAGAGUCUGGGAGAAGAUGCUGGGGAUUGUUCAGUACAGUGAGUACGGGGGGGGGGGGAGGGGGCAGGGAGAUUUAAAUGUUUUCACAGUGCAGUAGGAACAUUGAGAACUGUGGAGUCAAUCAGAUUAAAA
rnacentral:lncRNA from 1 species